AGUGAAUAGAUACCCAGGUAGUCCAUGCCGUAAACGAUGAGUGCUAAGUGUUAGGGGGUUUCCGCCCCUUAGUGCUGCAGCUAACGCAUUAAGCACUCCGCCUGGGGAGUACGACCACAAGGUUGAAACUCAAAGGAAUUGACGGGGGCCCGCACAAGCGGUGGAGCAUGUGGUUUAAUUCGAAGCAACGCGAAGAACCUUACCAGGUCUUAACAUCCCAGUGACCGCUCUAGAGAUAGAGUUUUCCCUUCGGAGACAUUGGUGACAGGUGGUGCAUAGUUGUCGUCAGCUCGUGUCGUGAGAUGUUGGGUUAAGUCCCGCAACGAGCGCAACCCUUGAUCUUAGUUGCCAUCAUUUAGUUGGGCACUCUAAGGUGACUGCCGGUGACAAACCGGAGGAAGGUGGAGAUGACGUCAAAUCAUCAUGCCCCUUAUGACCUGGACUACACACGUGCUACAAUGGACAGUACAAAGAGUCACUAACUCGCAAGAGUACGCUAAUCUCAUAAAACCGUUCUCAGUUCGGAUUGUA
rnacentral:rRNA from 1 species